rnacentral:rRNA from 1 species
GACGAACGCUGGCGGCGUGCUUAACACAUGCAAGUCGAACGGAAAGGCCCUGCUUUUGUGGGGUGCUCGAGUGGCGAACGGGUGAGUAACACGUGAGUAACCUGCCCUUGACUUUGGGAUAACUUCAGGAAACUGGGGCUAAUACCGGAUAGGAGCUCCUGCUGCAUGGUGGGGGUUGGAAAGUUUCGUCGGUUGGGGAUGGACUCGCGGCUUAUCAGCUGGUUGGUGGGGUAGUGGCGUACCAAGGCUUUGACGCGUAGCCGGCCUGAGCGGGUGACCGGCCACACUGGGACUGAGAUGAGGCCCAGAACCCUCCGGGAGGCAGCAGAAGGGAAGAUUGCAAAAUGGGGGGAAGCCUGAUGUAGGAACGGAGGGUGCGGGAUGACGGCCGUCGGGGGGUAAACAGCUUUCGCCUGUGACGAAGAGUGAGUGACGGUAAUGGGUAAAGAAGCACCGGCUAACUACGUG